GAUCCCAUAGCUCAGUUGGUUAGAGCGUCGUACUAAUAGAUUCGAAUACAUCAUCGCGGCUCCUGAGUCGUGAUGCGAAUCCAUCAUGUAAUGCGAAGGCCGAGAGUUCAAGCCUCUCUGGGAUCA
rnacentral:tRNA from 1 species